rnacentral:rRNA from 1 species
AGAGUUUGAUCAUGGCUCAGAACGAACGCUGGCGGCGUGGAUAAGACAUGCAAGUCGGACGAGAUUUUCCGUUGUAGCAAUACGAUGGAAAGUCUAGUGGCGAACGGGUGCUUAACACGUGGGCAACCUGCCGAGAAGUGGGGGAUAGCUCGCCGAAAGGCGAAUUAAUACCGCAUGUGAUUAGAAUGGACAUCCAUUCAAAAUUAAAGUCGGGGCAACCUGACGCUUCUUGUGGGGCCCGCGGCCUAUCAGCUAGUUGGUGAGGUAACGGCCCACCAAGGCUUUGACGGGUAGCUGGUCUGAGAGGACGACCAGCCACACUGGGACUGAGACACGGCCCAGACACCUACGGGUGGCAGCAGUCGAGAAUUUUUCUCAAUGGGGGAAACCCUGAAGGAGCGACGCCGCGUGGAGGAUGAAGGUCUUCGGAUUGUAAACUCCUGUCAUUGGGGAACAAUGGUUACGCGUUAACUGCGCGUGACUUGAUAGUACCCGAAGAGGAAGAGACGGCUAACUCUGUGCCAGCAGCCGCGGUAAUACAGAGGUCUCAAGCGUUGUUCGGAUUCAUUGAGCGUAAAGGGUGCGUAGGCGGCGCGGUAAGUCGGGUGUGAAAUCUCGGAGCUUAACUCCGAAACUGCAUUCGAUACUGCCGUGCUUGAGGACUGGAGAGGAGACUGGAAUUUACGGUGUAGCGGUGAAAUGCGUAGAUAUCGUAAGGAAGACCAGUGGCGAAGGCGGGUCUCUGGACAGUUCCUGACGCUGAGGCACGAAGGUCAGGGGAGCAAACGGGAUUAGAUACCCUAGUAGUCC